UACGUAGGGUGCGAGCGUUGUCCGGAAUUAUUGGGCGUAAAGGGCUCGUAGGCGGUUUGUCGCGUCGGGAGUGAAAACUCAGGGCUUAACCCUGAGCUUGCAGUGGGUACGGGCAGACUAGAGUGCGGUAGGGGAGACUGGAAUUCCUGGUGUAGCGGUGAAAUUCGUAGAUAUUGGGAAGAACACCGAUGGCGAAGGCAGGUCUCUGGGCAUUAACUGACGCUGAGGAGCGAAAGCAUGGGGAGCGAACAGG
rnacentral:rRNA from 1 species